ensembl:lncRNA
GUGAGUGCGGGCGCCGGCAGGGCCCGGGGGCGCGGGGACCCGGGGAAGCGCGCGGCCGCGCCCCCGGGGGGCUGGCUCUGCGAGGGCCGGGGCCGCGGUCGGGGGGCCGCAGGGGGCCGGGGCCGUGGGUCUUGCGCCGGCGGGAAAUAAGGCAGGAGUCAGAAAGGUGCGCCCAGCCUUUAACCAGUAACUCCACCCCUUGUCCGGAGGAAAUCAUCCGAAAGAAGAAAUUAAGUUGCUCGCUGCGGCGCUUUGCGGCAAGAAAAUUGCAAGCAUGGAAACAUCCUAAACGUCCGGCAAUAAGGGGGUGGUUAACGGAAUUAAGGUGCACCCAUUGGUUGAAAGAUUCCACAUCCGUAUAUAAAGGGAUAUUUCUGAUGGCUUGGGAGGCAGUAAUCCAAACUUCUUAAACAAAAUGAGACAUUAACAGAGAAGAGCAGACUGUAAACGUCUCCUUAAUUCAGUUGAAAUAAGAACCCUUCUUGGUUAAAAACCAGGAAAGAACCCCAGAGAUUUGCGUCGUUGGGUUAAGACCAUGAAAUACGGAUAAGUUAUGUAGAGUAAAAUACAAAUAAAUACAGAAUACCCUUUUAUGUUAUGAUAUGAAUUCUACAGAAUUAUAUAGUGCUACUGCUACUAAGUCGCUUCAGUCGUGUCCGACUCUGUGCGACCCCAUAGAUGGCAGCCCACCAAGCUCCCCCGUCCCUGGGAUUCUCAAGGCAAGAACGCUGGAGUGGUUUGCCGUUUCCUUCUCCAAGGUAUGAAAGUGAAAAGCGAAAGUGAAGUCCAACCCUCAGCGACCCCAUGGACUGCAGCCUUCCAGGCUCCUCCGUCCAUGGGAUUUUCCAGGCAAGAGUAUUGGAGUGGGGUGCCAUUGCCUUCUCCAAUAGAAUUAUAUACCAAGGGCAAUUUUUAUAACACCUCAUUUUUACAGUGAGAAUUGUGGGUUGUGACUCCAACCCUGAAUAUGAGGUCGUAUAUCAUUGUGGGGGUUUUACUGCUUUUAAACAGUAAUGUACAUUCUUUGGAUAAUUGCUAAAUCCUUUGUAGAAACACAGGGUAUGGGGAAGUACAGAGGAAAUUAGGGAAAUCUGAGUAAGAUUUGUGGGUUGAGCCAAUAUCAGUGUUAUCCUGGUUGUGGUAUGCUCUCUCUCUCUCUCUUUAAAUUUUUUAAAUUAAUUUUGCUAGUUAAAAAAAAAUUGAGAUGUAAUCCACACGCGUUAAAAUUCAUUCUUUGGGACUUCUGUGGUGGUCCAGUGGCCAAGUCUCCCAGCUCCCGAUGCGGGGGGCCCGGAUGUGACCCCUGAUCAGGGAGCUAGAUCCCGCGUGCUGAAGCUAGGAACUCACAGGCUGCGACUGGAAGACCGUGCGUGCCGCAGUGAAGAUGGGAGAUCCCGCGCGCUGCAGCUGAGAGCCGCGCAGCCAGAUAAACAUAAGCGGUUUAAAAAAACAAUGAACUCUUCCGUAAGUGUAGAAUUUGGUGGUUUGUAAUAAAUUUUAAAAAGAUUGUGCCUCCAUUACCACUAAUUCCAGAGCUUUCUCAUUAUCCCUCAAAGAAGCCCAUCUCCGUGAGCAGGCCCUCUCCAUUUCUCAUUCCCUCCCCCAGCCGUUACCCUCCUUUCUGUCUGUGGAUUUGCAUGUCUGGGUAUUUCAUGUAAAUAGGAUCAUACAACUUGUGGCCUUUUGUGUGUCUGGCUUCUUAGCAUAAUGUUUUCAAGGUUCAUGUCACAGUAUGAAUCAAUAUUUCAUUCUUUAUUGCUGAAUAAUAUUCCAUUUAGGGACACACUCGCACACACACACACUCACUCACAGAGACACACACUCACGCGCACACACACAGAUACACACAGAGACACAGACACACACACACACACAUUUUGUUAACUUUUAUCAGUUAGUGAGCACUUGGGUUGUUUGCACUUUUUGCCUCCUCAAUAAUGCUGCUGUGAAGGUUUCUGUACAAGUCUUUGUGUGACGUAUGUUUCCGUUUCUCUUGAGCACAAAUGCUGUGUUGUGGUAACUAUUUUCCCUAGCUGCCUGAUUUCCAAAGCAUCUGCUCCCCCUCUGUUUUCCCACCAGCAGUGUGUUACAGGUUUCGAUUUCUCCAGGUCCUCGCUUACACUUACUCUCUUUUUUAUUACCAGUCACCGUAGUGAAUGUGAGCUGGGAUUUCACUGUGGUUUUCAUUUCAUUUCCCCGAUGGUUAAUGAUGUUGAACAUCAUUUCUGGUACUUUUGGCUGUUUGUACAUCUCCUUUGAAAAAAUGUUUACUCAAAUACCUUGUCCAUUUUUAAGUUGAGUGAUUUAUCUUUUUAUCAUAGACCUAUGAGUUCUUUAUAACCCCGGCUAGACCCUUACCAGGUCCAUGGUUGACAUGUACGCUCGUUCGUUCGUGGCUGUCUUUUCACCGUCUUUACAGUGUACUUGGAAGCACAAGCGUGUUUUACUGUGAUGAGAUGCAAUUUAGUCACUUGUUGCUUAGGUCUCUACUGUCUUUCUUGUACAUAAGAAAUCAUUGCUUGAUCCAAGGUCAUGAAGAUUCACCCAUAUGUUGGCAAGAAUGCUAUAGUUUUACCUCUUACAAUUAGGCCUUUGGCCCAUUCUGAGUCAGUUUGUGUAAAAGGUGUAAGGCUGGGGCCCAUUCUGAGUCAGUUUGUGUACAACGUGUGAGCUGGGGUCCAGCCUCAUUCUUUCGCAUGCAUCCAGUUGUCCCAACACCGUUUGUUGAAGACCGUUCUUUCUCGACCACAAAUGUAUGGCUUUAUUUCUGAACUCUCGUUUCUAUUCCACUGAUCUUAGUUUUGCAAGACCUUACCAUUGGGGGAAAUUGGGCAAAGGGCAUGAAAGGUCUUUCUGUAUUAUAUGUUACAGUUGCUAGUGAGCGUACAGUUAUGUUAAUACAAAUUUACUUUAAAAAGGCAGAUAUUAUUUUCAUGAGAACGUUCUCACCACCACCACCACCCUGACACCACACCCCAUCCCAAAUAAAAUAACUGUUCUGUGUUAAGAAUUUCCCCAGCCUUCCUCUGUGGUCCCUGUUCUUUACCACUAGGUGGCACCAACUCUCUUUUUUCAGAAGCUACCGCAGGAAGAGGCAGUGCCAGGACUUCUUGCCAAGAGCAGUGCCCUUUGCCAGGCCCUGGCUGCCACCGUCAUGAUUCAGGGCAGUCCUGGCCGCCCUGACUGUGCCGAGAUAACAGGGAGACUCAAGGCUGCCUCUGCUUCAGAGGCUGCUUGUCGCUUUGUGAGAUGAGCUCUCCGCACGUCUCCUCUGCUCAGGCUUCGAGAGCGUUCCUUCACUCACGCAUUUGCUGUUCAGUCGGCCACUCGUGGGCAGCUCUUUGCAACCCCGUGGACUGCAGCACGCCAGGCUUCCCUGUCCUCCACUGUGUCCCAGAUUUUGCUCAAACUCAUGUCCACCCAUGAUCACAUAAUGCUCAUAAACACAGCUGGUACUUUAUCCAGGUAAGUCAUUGUUAGUCAUAAAAAUUAGACCUUUGGGGAAUUUCCUGACAGUCCAGUGGUUAAGACUUGGCAAAAUCACUGCUGAGGGCCCAGGUUCAAUUCCUGGUCAGGAAACUAAGGUCCCACAAGCUUCGUGGUGUGUGUGGGGGUGGAGAAAGCCAAAAUAACUCUAAAAUAUUGGAUUUUUAAAGGAUGUGAUAAAGAAUAUAACCACCCCACACAGCUUUGUAAACUAUAAAGGACUACUCUUUAAUAAGCUAUGAUUAUUCCUGGAGCUAGGAGAUCCCAAAGAAAGUUCAAAGUGAAUAUCAUUGUGCCUUCAUAGUCAUAAAAAGGAAUCUCAGAGAGGCUUGUGUACAGCGUGAAGUACACGGUAGAGAAUCUGCCUGCCAUGCACGAGACCCUGGUUUGAUCCCUGGGUGGGGAAGGUCCCCUGGAGGAGGGCACGGCAACCCACUCCAGUGUUCUUGCCUGGAGAAUCCCAUGGACAGAGGAGCCUGCCGGGCUACUGUCCAUGGGGUCGCAAAGAGCUGGGCAGCUGAGCGACUAGCGUACAGGGCGUGUGGAGGUUACGUGGCCGUAGUUCCCCGUCCGCACUGCCGCAUGCCACCCGGUUGUGAGUAAACCACAGCAUACCCGUCUGUUUUCUUAUUGCUCGGCAUUUACAUUGUUUCCAGCCUUUUUUUUUUUUUUUUUUUAAAUCACCAAGAAUAAAUGCUACUGUGAACAUUCUUGUCAAGGCUAUGGUUUUCCCUGUGGUCAUGUAUGGAUGUAAGAGUUGGACUGUGAAGAAGGCUGAGCGCCGAAGAAUCGAUGCUUUUGAACUGUGGUGUUGGAGAAGACUCUUGAGAGUCCCUUGGACUGCAAGGAGAUCCAACCAGUCCAUUCUGAAGGAGAUCAGCCCUCGGAUUUCUUUGGAGGGAACGAUGCUAAAGCUGAAGCUCCAGUACUUUGGCCACCUCAUGCGAAGAGUUGACUCAUUGGAAAAGACUCUGAUGCUGGGAGGGAUUGGGGGCAGGAGGAGAAGGGGACAACAGAGGAUGAGAUGGCUGGAUGGCAUCACUGACUCGAUGGACGUGAGUCUGAGUGAACUCCGGGCGUUGGUGAUGGACAGGGAGGCCUGGCGUGCUGCGAUUCAUGGGCUCGCAAAGAGUCGGGCACAACUGAGCGACUGAGCUGAACUGAACUGAACAUUCUUGUGCCUGUCUUCUGCCACACGUGUUCACACGAAUGCCUCUUGCACAGACACAUCCAGGAGCGGAAUAGCCGUGUAGGGACAUUCAGCCUUACCAGAUAGUGCCAAUUGCUGCCCAGAGUCCUUGUACCAAUUGGCACUUCCCACCAUGGAUCCACGCCUUCUCCAGCUCAGUGUUAUUAAAUCCACUUUCUGCCAACCCAGCGGGUGUAGAUGGAAUCUCACUGAGAUCUAACCUGCUUUUCCCUGAAGUUCCAAACCUCUUGCUUAUUGAACAACCAUGAUCCUCUCUGAAAUGCCCAUUCAUUUCUCCUGGUGCCCAGAGUGCGGGCACGCUCUGUAGGCGCGCGUGCUGGUCUCGGUCGAUGGAUUUCUCCUGGUAUCCAGAGUGCAGGCGCUCUCUGUAUGGCGCGGGUGCUGGUCUUGGUCGCUCUCUGUAUGGUGCGGGUGCUGGUCUUGGUCGCUCUCUGUAUGGUGCGGGUGCUGGUCUCGGUCGAUGGUGUGUAUUGCAGCUCUCUUCUCCCAGUUUGUGACUUGUGUUUUCAUUUCCUUUAUGGUGAAUUUUGAUCAAGGUAAGCUCAAAAUUUAUUAUUUUUAAAUGAUCAGUGUUUUCUUUUGUGGAAAGUAUAUAGUGUGUCUUUUAUUUUUUGUUUUGAAUGGCAUGUAAUUGAUUACCAAUGUUAAUUUCAGGUAUCAGCAGAGUGAUUCAGUUAUACACAGACAUGUAUCUAGUCUGUUAUGAAUUCUUUUCCAAUUUAGGUUGUUACAGAAUAUUCAGUAGAGUUCCCUGUGCUUGGCAGUAGGUUCCUGUUGGUUAUUUUAUAUAGUGUGUGUGUACAUGUCAGUCCCAAACUCCCAAUUUACCCCUCCCCCACCUUUCCCCUUUGGUCACCAUUAGUCGGGCGCGACUGGAGCAACAGCAGCAACAACGACUGAAGCGCCUCAGCGCAGCAACAGCAGCAGUCUGUUUUUAAAGUCUGUGAAUCUGUUUCUGUUUUAUAAAUAAAUUAAUUUGUGUAAUUUUUAUUUAUAUUCUAUAUAAAUGAUACCAUAUGAUAUUUGUCUUUAUUUGACUUAGUUCCAUUAGAAUGAUAACCUCUAGGUCAGUCAUGUUGCUGCAAACGGCAUGCUUUUGUUCCUUUAAUGACUGAGUAAUAUUCCAUUGUAUAUAUGGACCGCACCUUUCGAUGCGACGCUUAGGGUGAUGGACACUUAGGUUGCUUCCAUGUCUUGGCUGUUGCAAACAGUGCUGCGGUGAACAUUGGUGCGUGUGUCUUUUUGAAGAAGAGUCUUCGUCUUUGGAUUCCGGGGUCAGUGCUGCGGUGAACAUCGGUGUGUGUGUCUUUUUGAAGAAGAGCGUUCGUCUUUUCCUGAUUUAUGCGCAGGAGCGGGCUUGCUGGGUCAUAUAGUAGUUCUAUUUUCAGUUUUCCUGUUUCUCAGGAAGCUGCACAGUGUUCUCUACAACGGCUGUAUCGAUCUACAUUCCCCCCAACAGCUAGGAGGACUCCUCUUGCUCCACACCCUCUCCAGCAUUCAUUAUUUGUAAACUUUUUGAUGAUUGACAUUCUGACUGGUGUAAAGUGAUACCUUGCUGUAAUUUUAAUUUGCGUUUCUCUAAUGGAAACAGUGUCAGACUUAAUUUUUUGGGCUCCAUAAUCAUUGCAGAUGGUGAUUGCAGCCAUGAAAUUAAGACGCUUACUCCUUGGAAGGAAAGUUAUGACCAACCUAGAUAGCAUAUUAAAAAGCAGAGAUAUUAUUUUGCCAACAAAGGUCCGUCUAGUCAAGACUAUAGGUUUUCCAGUGGUCAUGUAUGGAUGUGAGAGUUGGACGGUAAAGAAGGCUGAGCACCAAAGAAUUGAUGCAUUUGAACUGUGGUGUUGGAGAAGACUCUUGAGAGUCCCUUGGACUGCAAGGAGAUUCAGCCAGUCCAUCCUAAAGGAGACCAGUCCUGGGUGUUCAUUGGAAGGACUGAUGCUGAAGCUCCAGUACUUUGGCCACCUCAUGUGAAGAGUUGACUCAUUGGAAAAAACCCUGAUGCUGGGAGGGAUUGGGGGCAGGAGGAGAAGGGGGCGACAGAGGAUGAGAUGGCUGGGUUGCAUCACCGACUCGAUGCACAUGAGUCUGGGUGGACUCCGGGAGCUGGUGAUGGACAGGGAGGCCUGGCGUGCUGUGAUUCAUGGGGUCACAGAGAGUCGGACACGACUGAGCGACUGAACUGAAGUGAAUGAUUAGUGAUUUUGAGCAUCUUCUCAGGUGCCUGUUGGCCAUCCUGGCAUUUUCUUUGGAGAAAUGUCUGUUUAGACCUUCUGCCCAUGUUUUGGUUGAGCUGUUUGGGUUUUUGUUGUUACAGUAUGUUGAACAACACAGAUUUAUGUUUUCUUCCAAAGAUUUAAAAUUUUGCCUUUCACAUUUACGUUCUGACUUCAUUAUACGUUUUUUUUAUGGUGUGCGGUAAGGAGUUGAUUUCAUUUUUUUUCCACUUAGAUAAUCAGUUGACCAGCACAGUUCACUGAAUAAUCCUUUCCUUCCACACUGACUUGCAGUCCAUUUCUACCUCAUGUCAAACUCCCGUCUAUAGCCCGUGCAGCCCGUGGGUCUGUUUCCGAGCUCCCACGCCGUAUCAUCGUCUGUCUGUCCCUCUGUUGGUUUCGCACUGUCUUAAUCAUCACAGUCUUAGGCUAAGUGUUCACAUUAGUAUCUCGGAGGGUGAAUCCUUCCAUCUUAUUUUCGGAUGGCUUGACUUUUUUUUUUUUUUUUUGGGCCUUUAUUCCUGGGUAGAAAUCCUCUAAAUAAAGCUUGUUUCAUAGACACACCUGUGGGAUCUUAAUCAGAGUUGAAUUAAAUCUGCAGGUCGUCUUGAGCACUCUUCCGUGUAACCAUCGCUGUGUGCACACGUGCAUGACUUUCCACCUUUUUAAAGCUGACCUUGGCACUUGUGCGUCCCCCCGGUGGCUCUGACGGGUGCCAGGUAGUUAUGAUCUGCGCAAGCUGUCUGAUUUAAUUCUCACAGUUCCCAUUUCCCGAGUUCACCAAGCCUUGCAGGAUUCGAUGAUUUGCCAAAGCUCGCCUGGGGGAGGCAGCGGAAGAGCCGGAGUUUGAGCCCGUCUCUCGGAGCCACAGCUCUGGCUUUGCUGCUCGGGGCUUAACUGGCUCCAGUCUCUCCACGUGUAAGCGACGCAUGCCGAGUGUGUCUGGUGUUCAUUUUGCCCCCGUUCCCAGAAAGCUCACGCCACCGGUACUUCCCCAGCUUGUUCCAGCGCCAGCAUUUUCAGUCGGAACCUGCGGUGAAUAGCAAGCCAGAGACACCGACACUUCCUGAGCCGCUUCUUAACGCCAGACACAGCCCUAAAUCAUUCUCUUGUGUUAUCUCCUUUGAUCCUCACAACACCACCAGGAAGCUGAAGCUCAGAGAGACACACGCAUUUGCUCGAGAUCACACAGCAGACUAGGGACACAGAGGAGCCCGAGGUUAACGUCAUCUCAAGAGUGUCCAGAGGCUGCCCCUCACCUGGGAGUGAAAUGCGGACUCCUCCCUGCAGUCUGUGAGGCCCUAACACCCUGCGUCCUGCCCUGCUCCCGCCUGUCUGGGAUUCUCCCUGUUCCCCGCACUCUCUGUGGCCCUGCCCUGCAGGCAAGGCCUCUGCCCAGCUCGCGCCCACAGUGUGUAAGUGGCUGCGCUCUCCCGUGCGGUCAGCUAAAAGGCCACCUCCUCAGAGAGGCGUUCCAAACCUCUGUAGCUGAAGUCCCGCCGCCUCUCUUUUCCAUGGAGUUGUUCGGCUUUCUUCAUGGCAGUUUCUCACUGUCUGGGUUGAUCAUUUGUAGUAAAAGUUCUCCAAAAAGGAAAAAAUAAUAGGAUGUGUUAGCGUGUGUGUGUAUAGACAGACAGGGAGGUUGAGGCUCAUUGUAAGGAACUGGCUCAGGCACUUAUGGGAGUGGGCGGGCCCCAAGACCUGCCAGGUGCUCAGCAGUCUGGAGCCCCAGGGGAGCCGAUGACUUGGUUCCAGCCCAAGUCCAAAGGUCUGAGGAGCAGGGGAGCUGAUGGUGUGGUUUCUGUCUGAACACUGGCAGCCUCAAGACUCAGGAAGAGCGGACAUUUCAGUUUGAGGACAAAGGCAGAGAAAAAGCCAAUAUCUUAGUUGGAAAGGCUGUCAGGCAGGUGUAGCUCCCUGUUAUUCAGUGAAUUUUUUUUUUUUUAACGCAAGCCUUCAACUGAUUGGGCGAGGCCCACCCACAUUGAGGCGCGCCAUCUUCUUUACCCAGUCUGGUGUUUUAAAUGUAAUCUCAUCCAAAGCACCAUCACGGACACACCAAGGUGAUGAGUGAGCAGAUAUCCAGGUGCCCCAUGGCCAGUCAAGCUGACCUAUAAAGUUAACCAUCACACCUGUUGACUGUCUCUCGCUGCCUGCAGCUGCUAAGGCAAGUCUGGCGUGUUCCUGGCGCACAGUAGGGGCUCAGUAAAUAGCAGUGGGGUAAAUGAGUGACAGCCCAGAUUCCCGCCCUGCUCUGAGCAGCUCCGUGUUGAUUCCUUCUCUGCAGUAAGACUCUCCUUCAGAUUGAUCCCUUGGUCGACUGAAAAGAAAAAAAAUAACAUCUGAAGUCAAACGAAUGCCCAUGUGCAAAAGCUUGGUGUUGGUUUUGUGUGAUGAAAGCGCCCAGGAUGGGGAGUGCCAGGCAGUUCAGCUUCUCCUGGACCCCUUGGUGCCCAGGAAAACAGAGUUAACACCCACCCUGCUCGUCUCUGGAUGCCCAGCUGUAAGCCUGAGAGGCCUACAGCGUGGCUUCAGGCUUCCCGAGAGACGGUUUUCCCGUCCUUGCAAGGCAGGAGGAGAAGCAGCCGUCACCAGGCUCACCCUCCAGGAGGGGCAGCAGGGCUGGGUCCUUCCACGGCUCACCAGGAGCUGGCGACAGUGAAGCGAAAGGGUUGGGAACAUCUCCAGCUGCCUGCAGACUGGAGGACAGCCCGAGAAUAGUGACAGUUCAGUGAACGGACAGGGAGUGUCUGUCAGGAGCUCCCCGAGGCCCGUGCCCACCUCGCGGGGCCCGCUGACCCCCGGCUGUGCCUGACUGCGCAGACUCUGUAGUCAGAAAGGCCCCGGGACGAGCUUGCCUUUGCACGAACUGCCGAAACGCGCGGCGCCAUGGAGUGCUCACAAGUCACGUUCAUGCGCAGCGAUUCAGUGCAGGCGCCUCUCUGGAGGGUGACCCUGCUGCGGCUUGUGAAGGGCCUGGGACUUGGAAACCCCAGGAAGUUCAGGCACUGGGGCUGCUGUGUCUUCCUAACCGUCGUUAGGGACCUGCUGGACAUUGUGCCCUGCUCAGAAAAGACGUGACCGAAGGCUGGUGGCCGAGGAGGAAGCACAUGGGCCGCAUUGCCUGAGACACAGACGAUGCCCCAGGCCUGCUGCAGAGCCACCGCGCUUUGCGCGUGGCCAAUGCUUUCCCACGGUAAACACGCGAAGAGAGUGAGCCCUCCCUGGACCACUCCUCCCUACAUGUCUCUCUGCUCCAGAGAAGACUGUAGACAGCCUACAGAAAGCACACGGGUGACUCCGCAGACGUGCCCUUGUUCCAGUCUCCACCUCUUUGCCGCCAGCCUCGCCGCUGUGCCCUUUCCACGGGCUCUUGUCCUGCCCAAGGCCCCCAGCUCUGGCGCUCUGACGGCCCCGAGACCUUGCUUUCCAGCUCUCUGGCUCAGCCUUCCCACGCCAUCAGAAACCAGUAGCCAGUCUGCUCUUGGAAGUCACACAAUGCGAUGGUGUAUUACUUACCACUGUACAAAAGUCACCCCGAAAUUUAGCUGCCUAAAGUGACACCGUUUAAUGAGACACCAGCUCGUGCCCUUAGGAUGGCCAGCAUCGAAAGAACAGACCAGCUAGCGCUGGUGAGGGUGUGGAGGAACUGGGGCCCUUGUGCUCCUUUGGUGGAAACAGGAGAAGGAAGACAUGCAGAGGCCUCCCCCCAACUCGGCAUAGAGUCUCCGUUCGAUCCAGCAACUCCGUCUCUAGUGCACACCCAGAAAAAUGGAGAGCGGGGUCUCCAAGGCAUGUUUGGAGAUCAGUCAGACUCCUGUCCGUUGCGUUGGUGCUGCCAUCCAGCCAUCUCAUCCUCUGUCUCCCCUUCUCCUCCUGCCCUCAGUCUCCCCAGUGUCAGGCAAGAGUACUCAGCCUUAAAACAGGAAGUUCUGAUACACCUUGCCACUUGGAUGGGCCUGGAGGAUCUCGCACUCACUGAAAUGAAGCAGUCGCAAAGGACGGCUACAGUCUGAUUCCACGCCCAGAGGCACCUAAAGCCAUCACAGCCACCGAGACACAAAGCGGGACGGUGGUUUCGGGGUCUGGGGAGAGGCGGGGGAGUUACUGUUCAGUGCGGUAGGAUUCCGGUUGCAAAGAGAAGGCGCCCCGGGCGACUGUCUUAUGGCAUUGUGCCGGUAGCUGCCAGGGCCGAACAGCACACCUCAGGUCGCUGGGAUGGUCCGUUUAUGCUGCGUACUUUUUACCGCAACAAGUCUGUGUUUUAAAUCCCUUUCUUAUCUCACGGUUUCUGUGGCUAGGAAUCUGGACCUAGCCCAGCCGGGUGGUCUGCCUCAGGGUCUCUGACGAGGCUGCACAGGGGCAGGGGUCUCAUCUGAAGGCUGAAGAAAGGUCUCUAUUGCCAGGGUUCACUCCACUGUCAGCCGUCGGCUCGAGGGUGUCCUUCAUUUGUAGGCUUUGGCCAGAGUCUGCCCUCAGGCCCUUGCCACGCGGGCCUGUCCAUGCGUCAGCACACUUCUUCAGGCUGUGCCCACCACACAGGGUGGUAUAGCAAGACGGCGCGUGAGGUGGAAGUCAGCAUGUUCGCAGCCUGACCGCAGGUUCAGUCCUCGGGUUGGGAAGAUCCCCUGGAGAGGGAAAGGCUGCCCACUCCAGUAUUCUGGCCUGGAGAAUUCCGUGGACUGUAUGGUCCGUGGGGUCACGAAGAAUCAGACACAACUGAGCGACUUUCACUUUCACUUUGCACCACUACCACGUGGGAGCCCGGAAACCCCCGAUUUGGGCAAGAUGCCCCAUGAAGAGGCCGCCAGCUCCUGGCCAUGUGGCUGGUGAGUCAGCCCUGUCCCUUGCUCCUGGUCUCCCUCUCUGCAGGACAGUGGCCUCACCCACAGCAACCUUCUCCAGUCCCUCCCUGGCAUGCCUGUGGCUGCCUAGUCAGAUCAGAGAUCAGCAGAUGCCUGUUGACGCAGGGAGCCGGGAGGGGCCCCAGCAGGCCCUACUCCAGCUGGUCAAGCAGUCUUACUGCGUCCACACCUCUCACCCUGCUCUGUCCUUACAAGAGGCCAUCCGCGGUGCAUGGUGAUGGGGACCAGGCCCUUGGAGUCAAGUGGAACCUGCAUCCAGUUCAGAUACAUUACUUAAGCCCUGGGACCCUAGACAUUCUGUCUGUGGAGGAAACGUUUCCUGUUUAGUUGGUAUGUUGGAGGUCUCCAGGUCUACCCUCGGCCUCAGUGGCUUGGUAGAAAGACUCAUAAUUCAGGAAAGCUGUUCAACUCAUGCUUACAGUUCACUCUAGUAGAAGAGUAGAGGUUAAAAUCAGGAAAGGAAAGUGUAUACAGAGCAGAGCGCAGGAGCUCCCAGGUGUGGCGGUCUGGCUGUGCUGCCCACGGGAGGCCUGCAGAUGGCGCUUAGUUCUCCCGGCGACUGUGUGUGACAGCGCGCACAGGAGUGGCCAGCGGGGACUCUCAUCCAGUCCCCCGUGUCCAGGGUUUGUGUGGAAGGGCAGUCUCGUAAGCAGAGAGCACCCCCAUGGCUGACCACAGAUACACGGUCUCCAUUGCGAGCACGCGUGCUGAAUCACUUCAGCGGUGCACAGCUCUUGGCGACCUACGGACUGUGGCCCGUCAGGCUCCUGUCCGUGGACUUCUCCCGGCAAGAAUGCUGGAGUGGGUUGCCGUGCCGCCUCCAGGGGAUCUUCUCGACCCAGGGACUGAACCCAGGUCUCUUGCGUCUCCUGCACUGCAGGCGGAUUCUUUGCCACUGAGCCACCACGGUCUUCAUUACCAUCCCCCAGCCACGGCCCCAGGCUACCUCACAUGGUUGGCAUCAGCUGUCUGGGGUGGCCCUGGGCCCCAGGCACACAAAGGCACUCUUCCCAUGUGGACACUGCAAGGGCCUGCGUGCUGCCCCCCAGGAGCUAGGCCAGGGCCCGUCCUCGCUGUGGGACGGGCAGGGUGUGGACCUCCCAAGCGUGCUGAGCUCUCUCUUUACUGCACACUUGAUCUGGACAUUCAACACGUGUCCCAGUCAGGGUCCAGACAGGAAAGCUGAAACCACUGUAGGUAUUUAGAACAAACAAUUUAACACAAGGAGAUUGUCUCACAGGGGAUUGAAGACCUGGGAAGCAACACAGGAGGCAGGGAGCCCAGGGACCGGCGGCGGCAACCGCAGGCCUCUCCAGAGUGACCCAGGCCUGGGGGCUGCCUGGUGGGCCAGGGGCACGCAGGGAGAGCUGUCGGCUCACGCCGCCCCCCAGCAGAGGGAGCAGGGGAAAAGAACCCGGGUUCUUCCCCGUCCCGCCUGCCCUGCCCCCUCUGGCACUUCCCAGGGCGGGGGCUCCCCAGGAAAUGACUCCGACUCCCGUUUACUCAGGGCCUGUUUCAAGGUGCCUGACAGCGUGGCAGCCACAGUCACCCACCCCACCCCGUGUGGCCCUGCCCGAGAGCUGCCCUGCAAGCAGAUACUGCCUCUGCUCUAUAGGGAUGACAGCGAUGAGGGGCAGAUAAAGAAAAACAGCCUGUCGGGGGAGCCGGAGCCAGGGGGUGUGGAGGAAAGGAGGCAGGGCCGCAGGGAGGCAGAGACAUUGUGCGGAAGCCUUCCUGGCCAGGAGGCGCCCGCAGCCAGCAGAGGUGGGGAGCGAGGUGCUCCUUCAGCACACUCGUCCAGCCAGGAAUCCCCUGCCUGAGCCCCACUUCCUGUCUCAGUCCAGCUGUCCCCACCCACAUUGCCCCCUGGGAAGGCCUGGGUUCCCUCACCGCAGAAAUCGUUUGCAGUGAAUCUUUUGUUUCCCCCUCGUGCUUGACUCGUGGCUACAGUUUGUUUCGUCUCUCAAAGACCUGCUCGAUUCCAUUUUUCAUGCCAUUUCCACACUGCUGAGGGGCAUGUCGGCCUGGGACUUGCUCACACACAGGCAGUUCAGCACUGGCGCUCAGAAUCCAGGAACCACGGCGCUCCCAUAAAUGGUUUUAAACCCGGUGCUGAAGCCCAGCAGCUCCACGCCUUUGCCUGGCCUCGGGAAUCAGAAAGCCCUCCUGUUACCUCCUCCCACACUUGGCCUUGCACGCUGGCCAGCUAGCCUGUGCUCCCAGAUAAGAAGUGCAGAGAAAGGCGGGCUCUUUCCCCCAAGCCCCAUGUGCAAAGACUGUGUCUCACGGUGGUGCUUUUUAGGUGUGACGGUGCUGUGGUGGUUGGAUAGGAGAACUGAAACUGCCUCCACAUCUUUGAGGAAAACACACACACUCACAUUCACAUGUGAACUGAAUAUGGCAACUUAGUAAUUAUUAGAUCUUUUUAGUCUGUGCAUUUGACUUUUUUAAUGAUAAAAACAAUUCCCCUUCCUCCCUUCCUUAAAAAUUUUAAUGUAUUCAUUUUCACCUGUAAAAUUAAUUGCCCUUUUUCUGCUUUCACGCCAGCAAUCAUAACUUCUAAUCUGAGAUUAACUGUGUUGUCACUUCGGAUUCCCUUUAUUCUGUCCAAGGGGGAAAAAUAAGGCUUUCUACUUAAAUGUAGGUUUUAAGGCAGUACAGAGUAGGGUUUGUCUCUUGUCUUUUAAGACAUGAAUGAAGGUCAAGGUUAGGCAGACCUACCCUGUUCUCUCGCUCGCUCUCCUGGAGAGCAGCUGGUGCGGGGCGAAGGGUCCAGGAGGGAAGGCCCAGGGAGAGGGCGGCAACCUGGCCGCAGCGUCAGCAGGAGGCUCACCCGGGCAGGCCCAGCUGCCUCAGCCUUGCACAAGCUGUGUGGUCGGGAACAAGGCGUGGGAUGGACCCACUGAUGCCUCUGGCAUAACCUUAAAGAUUGUGGAGGAAACGACCAGCACCUUCUCCAUCACACACUUAAGUAGCACAGAGAUUAGCAUGGCGAGUUCAAUAAACUGCUCAACGAACUAUGGACUAACGUGUGUGGGAUGCGGGCUGAAGCGCAAAAGCAAAGCUAACCGUGUUGCGGCCCUUUGCCACCUCGGUUUCUGAGCUGUGGACUCACACAGCCGUUCCAAAUGGAAAGGAAGCUGGCGUUUCAGCUACUUACUGCUAAAGUCAGCAUGUCAAACUUGCUUGAAACGUGACUGCAUAUUUCCCCUGGCUCUGCACUCUGGGCUGGGCUCAGCUGGGUGGUUCUUCCACCCUGCCAGGUGUCUUCUGGGGUGGAAGGUUCCAAAGAGCAUCUUCACCCAGACUUCUGGGGCGUCAGCUGAGGUGGCUGGAACAAGGGGAUGACUGGCACACUUGUGCCUCCAUGCCAUCACAGCAGCUGGACCUCGUCACAGAGUGACUCAGGACUUCAAGAGGCAGCAUCCCAAGAGGACAGACCCCAGCAUUCAAAUCUGUACCAAGGCUCUGUGCCCAGCACAUCUGCUGCCACCCCAUCGGCCAAAGCAAGUUAGUUAUGUGUCCAAUCCCGGAAUAUACCUGUGAGGGAGAGGGCUGACAGUCAGUAGAGACCACCAAUGCAUGGACCCCCCGCAACCAGGAAGAGCCCUCAUCCAGCAGCGCGUAAGCCGCCGUGGGCCACCCAGGAUGGAGCUCUCCUUCCGGUUAGGGAGACGCCGUGAAGGAUCUCAGUCAUUCAUUCAUUCAACACGCGUCUCUCGGGAGUGCAGAUGCUGGGGAUUGGUACGGACGAGACAGGUGAGCUCUUGCUUCUGAGGCUGUCAGGUAGUCCAUAUGCAGUGAGACCGUUUCCAAUGACGACCAGCACUGUAAAGAAAACAGCAUAGCAGGGCAGAGAGUGGGCAGAGGUUGAGGGUGGGUGCUGUAGCCACAGGGAUCAGGGCAGGCGCUCCUUGAAGCAGGAAGCUCAGCUGAGACUUAAACGAGAGGGCACCAACCUCGUGGAGAUCCGGUUGCACAUGUUCUAGGAGGAGGGAACCAAGGGCGGAGGAAGGGGGCAGGAAUGCACCUUGACCAAGUCUCAGCUCGACGUGUUUCAGGGAUAGUAGACUAGGGCGUCUGGAGUAGCGGAAAAGGGAGGCAAGGUUCGAGGGAGAGGCCGGGCCUCGCCGCGCCUCUGAAUGCACUCAGAAGUAUGACGGGCAUCGGGAGCCGUGAGCUGUAGUUCCUUGCCCAUCGUCCUGCCCCUUCCCGGCCCUCCUCUGCAUUUCCAGAUCCAUUCUGAGAAGCUGUCAAGCUCUGUCAAGCCAGAAGGUCGGGGGGUGGGGCGCUCAGAAGAAAGUUAAAAAAUACCCUAGCGUUGGAGGCUAACUCCCUUGCUCCGGACACUGGGAGGCAGUGCGCAAACCUCCCACCGCCACCGUCGUACACACAGACAAGCCGUCUUGACACAGACUCCAGGGCGCUGUUGCCCAUUUCUAAUUAUAACCGACAUUUGUUUUCACAUACAUCAUCCCACGUUAUCCCUUCGUCCAGCCAGAGCCAGUCCGCCCAAGGAAGCAAACAUUUGAGCAACCUUCGUGCUCAAUCUCGUGCUCAGCAGCCCUGUGCAUCUGGCUAACCUUCCCCCAAGCCUGUGCAGGUUUUAACUUCUUAUCUCCAUCUCUCUGUGGAGGACGUAGGCUCAGAGUCACACAGGAAACAGCGGCGCUGCAGUGCCAGCCUGAGGCCUUUGAGCCCGAGUCACGGGCUCCACCCCCUGCAGCUCCUGCAGGCUGCUGAGCCGGGCCUGCCCUGGGCAGGUGGCCAGGUUGCGCAUUCUUCCAGAGCUCCAUCUCCAUACAAGGGCCUCCGUGAGCCGGAGAUGAGAAGAAGGAUUGAAACAAAAUGCUCAUCGUAUUACUUUGAACUUUGGCUUCCUUAGUCAAGCCAGUGCGCCUGAAGUGCGCCCUGAGCAGACAGGUGUCUAUAGAGGGAAUUUUACACGAUGUGCAUAAAAACCUCCCUGUGUAUUUACCGUGCUUUUUCAAAUGGACAGUUGGAUCUAUUAUUUUCAAUGUAGAUGUUGUUUACCGGAAACGGUUGCUAGAGAUUAAAGAAAAAAAGUAUUCAACGUCUUAUCUGAAAAUGUAACUAAGAUAUUAUUUUAAAAUAACCUUUUCCAAAAUACCCUGGUGGUGCAGUGGUUAGGACACAGUUAACCCUUUCCCUGCCAGGCCCCGGGUCAGUCCCUGGGUGGGGACUGAAGAUCCCACAGACUGUGUGGCACGGUCAAAAAUCAAACAAACUCAUCCUUUUUCCUGACUUUGAAAUGCAUCUAUACUUUCCAAAAGGAAAUACACAUAUCUCCAUCCAUAUGUAUACGCACACGUAGUUACUUUUAUACGUGUAUGUAAUUCUGUAGUCGCCUUUAGCCCUAUUAAAAAUGCAAUGUGUGUGUUUUGAAAGUGUUAAUUAUCUACACAUUUAAAAUAUCACAAUUUGGAACCCUGACUUGAUACUCCUUCCUAUUAGAAGGUCAGCAGUGGCUGGAGCCUCUCACACCCGAGAGGCCCCUCGUCCAGCUGAUUUAAACCGUAUCAAGUCUAGGAUUGCAUUUGUUUUUUUGAAUUGCAGGGCAAGUGACUUGCUUGGGUCAUGCUCAGUCUGCAGUCUGUGUUCAGACAUGGUGCAAACAUCCCCCGAGAACUCGGAGGAGACUGCCAGGGAAGGCCUGGGCCUCCUUCCCAGAACAGCCUGCUUCAGACCAGCUCGGUGCCUCCUCCCCGCGUCGCAGCGACCCCCUGCCACAGGUGGGGCUGGAACCCAGCAGGAUUGACGGGAAUGUGGAUCACAGCCUCCCCGCUACCCCAUUUGCUUUCCAAAGGUCAGCGGCUUGAGAUAAUGUGUUUUAGGGAUUUCCCAGUCGGCUAGUAUUUAAAAGAUGUUUAUAUUGAAAAAAGAAGAUAGAGGCUCUGGCAACUAGGAAAACACAGAAUAAAAGUUUUCCCUGGACUCUUUUUUUUUUAAUUUUAAAUUUUUAUUAAAGAACAAUCGAUUUUGACACUAACAAUGUUGCGUUAGUCUCAGGCGUACAACAAAGUGAUUGAGUUAUACAUGCAUAAAUCUGUUUUUUCC